GAUGAACGCUGACAGAAUGCUUAACACAUGCAAGUCAACUUGAAUCUGGGUUUUUAACUUAGGUUUGGGUGGCGGACGGGUGAGUAACGCGUAAAGAACUUGCCUCACAGCUAGGGACAACAUUUGGAAACGAAUGCUAAUACCUAAUAUUAUGAUAAUAGGGCAUCCUAUAAUUAUGAAAGCUAUAAGCGCUGUGAGAGAGCUUUGCGUCCCAUUAGCUAGUUGGAGAGGUAACGGCUCACCAAGGCGAUGAUGGGUAGCCGGCCUGAGAGGGUGAUCGGCCACAAGGGGACUGAGACACGGCCCUUACUCCUACGGGAGGCAGCAGUGGGGAAUAUUGGACAAUGGACCGAGAGUCUGAUCCAGCAAUUCUGUGUGCACGAUGAAGUUUUUCGGAAUGUAAAGUGCUUUCAGUUGGGAAGAAACAAAUGACGGUACCAACAGAAGAAGUGACGGCUAAAUACGUG
rnacentral:rRNA from 1 species